rnacentral:rRNA from 1 species
GGUUAAGCGACUAAGCGUACACGGUGGAUGCCCUGGCAGUCAGAGGCGAUGAAGGACGUGCUAAUCUGCGAUAAGCGUCGGUAAGGUGAUAUGAACCGUUAUAACCGGCGAUUUCCGAAUGGGGAAACCCAGUGUGUUUCGACACACUAUCAUUAACUGAAUCCAUAGGUUAAUGAGGCGAACCGGGGGAACUGAAACAUCUAAGUACCCCGAGGAAAAGAAAUCAACCGAGAUUCCCCCAGUAGCGGCGAGCGAACGGGGAGCAGCCCAGAGCCUGAAUCAGUGUGUGUGUUAGUGGAAGCGUCUGGAAAGGCGCGCGAUACAGGGUGACAGCCCCGUACACAAAAAUGCACAUGCUGUGAGCUCGAUGAGUAGGGCGGGACACGUGGUAUCCUGUCUGAAUAUGGGGGGACCAUCCUCCAAGGCUAAAUACUCCUGACUGACCGAUAGUGAACCAGUACCGUGAGGGAAAGGCGAAAAGAACCCCGGCGAGGGGAGUGAAAAAGAACCUGAAACCGUGUACGUACAAGCAGUGGGAGCACAGAGCAAUCUGUGUGACUGCGUACCUUUUGUAUAAUGGGUCAGCGACUUAUAUUCUGUAGCAAGGUUAACCGAAUAGGGGAGCCGAAGGGAAACCGAGUCUUAACUGGGCGUUAAGUUGCAGGGUAUAGACCCGAAACCCGGUGAUCUAGCCAUGGGCAGGUUGAAGGUUGGGUAACACUAACUGGAGGACCGAACCGACUAAUGUUGAAAAAUUAGCGGAUGACUUGUGGCUGGGGGUGAAAGGCCAAUCAAACCGGGAGAUAGCUGGUUCUCCCCGAAAGCUAUUUAGGUAGCGCCUCGUGAAUUCAUCUCUGGGGGUAGAGCACUGUUUCGGCAAGGGGGUCAUCCCGACUUACCAACCCGAUGCAAACUGCGAAUACCGGAGAAUGUUAUCACGGGAGACACACGGCGGGUGCUAACGUCCGUCGUGAAGAGGGAAACAACCCAGACCGCCAGCUAAGGUCCCAAAGUCAUGGUUAAGUGGGAAACGAUGUGGGAAGGCCCAGACAGCCAGGAUGUUGGCUUAGAAGCAGCCAUCAUUUAAAGAAAGCGUAAUAGCUCACUGGUCGAGUCGGCCUGCGCGGAAGAUGUAACGGGGCUAAACCAUGCACCGAAGCUGCGGCAGCGACGCUUAUGCGUUGUUGGGUAGGGGAGCGUUCUGUAAGCCUGCGAAGGUGUGCUGUGAGGCAUGCUGGAGGUAUCAGAAGUGCGAAUGCUGACAUAAGUAACGAUAAAGCGGGUGAAAAGCCCGCUCGCCGGAAGACCAAGGGUUCCUGUCCAACGUUAAUCGGGGCAGGGUGAGUCGACCCCUAAGGCGAGGCCGAAAGGCGUAGUCGAUGGGAAACAGGUUAAUAUUCCUGUACUUGGUGUUACUGCGAAGGGGGGACGGAGAAGGCUAUGUUGGCCGGGCGACGGUUGUCCCGGUUUAAGCGUGUAGGCUGGUUUUCCAGGCAAAUCCGGAAAAUCAAGGCUGAGGCGUGAUGACGAGGCACUACGGUGCUGAAGCAACAAAUGCCCUGCUUCCAGGAAAAGCCUCUAAGCAUCAGGUAACAUCAAAUCGUACCCCAAACCGACACAGGUGGUCAGGUAGAGAAUACCAAGGCGCUUGAGAGAACUCGGGUGAAGGAACUAGGCAAAAUGGUGCCGUAACUUCGGGAGAAGGCACGCUGAUAUGUAGGUGAAGUCCCUUGCGGAUGGAGCUGAAAUCAGUCGAAGAUACCAGCUGGCUGCAACUGUUUAUUAAAAACACAGCACUGUGCAAACACGAAAGUGGACGUAUACGGUGUGACGCCUGCCCGGUGCCGGAAGGUUAAUUGAUGGGGUCAGCGCAAGCGAAGCUCUUGAUCGAAGCCCCGGUAAACGGCGGCCGUAACUAUAACGGUCCUAAGGUAGCGAAAUUCCUUGUCGGGUAAGUUCCGACCUGCACGAAUGGCGUAAUGAUGGCCAGGCUGUCUCCACCCGAGACUCAGUGAAAUUGAACUCGCUGUGAAGAUGCAGUGUACCCGCGGCAAGACGGAAAGACCCCGUGAACCUUUACUAUAGCUUGACACUGAACAUUGAGCCUUGAUGUGUAGGAUAGGUGGGAGGCUUUGAAGUGUGGACGCCAGUCUGCAUGGAGCCGACCUUGAAAUACCACCCUUUAAUGUUUGAUGUUCUAACGUUGACCCGUAAUCCGGGUUGCGGACAGUGUCUGGUGGGUAGUUUGACUGGGGCGGUCUCCUCCUAAAGAGUAACGGAGGAGCACGAAGGUUGGCUAAUCCUGGUCGGACAUCAGGAGGUUAGUGCAAUGGCAUAAGCCAGCUUGACUGCGAGCGUGACGGCGCGAGCAGGUGCGAAAGCAGGUCAUAGUGAUCCGGUGGUUCUGAAUGGAAGGGCCAUCGCUCAACGGAUAAAAGGUACUCCGGGGAUAACAGGCUGAUACCGCCCAAGAGUUCAUAUCGACGGCGGUGUUUGGCACCUCGAUGUCGGCUCAUCACAUCCUGGGGCUGAAGUAGGUCCCAAGGGUAUGGCUGUUCGCCAUUUAAAGUGGUACGCGAGCUGGGUUUAGAACGUCGUGAGACAGUUCGGUCCCUAUCUGCCGUGGGCGCUGGAGAAUUGAGGGGGGCUGCUCCUAGUACGAGAGGACCGGAGUGGACGCAUCACUGGUGUUCGGGUUGUCAUGCCAAUGGCACUGCCCGGUAGCUAAAUGCGGAAGAGAUAAGUGCUGAAAGCAUCUAAGCACGAAACUUGCCCCGAGAUGAGUUCUCCCUGACUCCUUGAGAGUCCUGAAGGAACGUUGAAGACGACGACGUUGAUAGGCCGGGUGUGUAAGCGCAGCGAUGCGUUGAGCUAACCGGUACUAAUGAACCGUGAGGCUUAACCUU